CCCAGGUUAUCGAAGGCUUGUGAACAUGUCGUGAACUUUACAUCCAUCGCAUUGGUUGUUCUGACCGUUUUGGAAGCAAGCUGAAGAAGAUGCACCAAGAAAAGCAGCUGGACACACUUGUCGACAAGGGCCUGGAGAGCAAAUAUGACCGCAUUGAGCUAGAGGAGAUGGUGCAAGUGGCGCUUCUAUGUACUCAGUCCUUCCCUGGUCACAGGACCAAGAUGUCAGAAGUGGUCAGGAUGCUGGAGGGCGAUGGGCUUGCAAAGCAGUGGGAGGCAUCACAACACACAAAAGAGUCACACAAAUUCAAGGCCUAUUAGGCGCCCGAAAGGGCGCCGCCUGUUCUAGUAACUUUCAAUAUGAAUGCUGGGGAGGGAGACGACUGACGAGGAGCAGUGGCUACGGGCUGCUCUGCGUCAUAUGCAAUGCAGGCGGGGGUGCCGGAACACCUGGUGUACAAGCACUGGAACCAGCAUCGCGAUGCCGCUUGCUUCCAAUACAUCAUCAAGGUGAGGCCCGGUCGCUUGUCUAAACCUCCUCCUGAUGAAACUCCCAUCCUGCCGAGCGAGUGGAGUUUCUAUGCGCAUAGGUGAGGAGGGACCUGAAGCUUCUGCUCGGUGCCGGCCUUGCGGAGGACCUCAACGUUGUGUUCCCAAUUCACAAUUUUCACUUGCUUUGGGGAUAUUUACCAAAAAAAUCUCCAAUUUAACCCAAUGUUUAAUUGGUUGUUACAUUACACGCUGGAGAGUUUGCUGCUGGCAGAAGCCUGCAUUGUUGCUUAACUGGGCUCCUGGUGACGAGGUGGUCUACUACUUCGUACUACCUGCAAGCAAUAGCGUGGAUGAUUUUUAGUCUUUCAAUGCUAAACUUCAUGACCAUUAGUUCUCCUGUCCACAAGCUGACGCCAAGGAACUGAAGGACCAAAGGAUACAGGGUUAUCCACUAAUCUUAAAUCAUUAUUUUCUCAACGUUGUACCAGUAUACU